UGGGGAAUUUUGGACAAUGGGGGAAACCCUGAUCCAGCCAUCCCGCGUGUGCGAUGAAGGCCUUCGGGUUGUAAAGCACUUUUGGCAGGAAAGAAACGUCAUGGGUCAAUACCCCGUGAAACUGACGGUACCUGCAGAAUAAGCACCGGCUAACUACGUGCCAGCAGCCGCGGUAAUACGAAGGGUGCAAGCGUUAAUCGGAAUUACUGGGCGUAAAGCGUGCGCAGGCGGUUCGGAAAGAAAGAUGUGAAAUCCCAGAGCUCAACUUUGGAACUGCAUUUUUAACUACCGGGCAAGAGUGUGUCAGAGGGAGGUGGAAUUCCGCGUGUAGCAGUGAAAUGCGUAGAUAUGCGGAGGAACACCGAUGGCGAAGGCGGCCUCCUGGGAUAACACUGACGCUCAUGCACGAAAGCGUGGGGAGCAAACAGG
rnacentral:rRNA from 1 species